CACACCGCCCGUCAUGGCAUGGGAGUUGGUUCUACCUUAAGACGGUGCGCUAACCCGCAAGGGAGGCAGCCGGCCACGGUAGGAUCAGCGACUGGGCCG
rnacentral:rRNA from 1 species